CGUUGAUAACAAUGGAGUUGGAUUGUUUGUUAUUGAUCAAAACAAUGGUCAGAUACGUGCCAUUGGUACUCUGGUUGGUGGUAUACGUUACACUAUCACUGUACGAGCUACAGAUCAGGCUCCUAUUAAUGAACGAAGAUUCUCUCAAACAGCUGUAAUAGUUGACGUCACCGCCACAGCAACGAACAAUGGUCCAACUAUACCGGCUGCGGUAUAUACUAUUUUCGUUAGUGAAGGAAUACCAAUGUCGUCAUCUGUAUUCAGAGUUCCUGCUGUUGAUGCUGAGAAUGAUCCUUUAAAUUAUACUAUAUUAUCACAGUCCCCAGUACAAAAUAACAUACAAGGCAAUUUCUUUACCGUAAAUAACAGUGGUGUUGUGAUAAACAGGCGUCUACUGGAUCGAGAAUCGAUUAUUAAUCAUACACUUGUGUUAC